rnacentral:rRNA from 1 species
AUUGAACGCUGGCGGCAUGCCUAACACAUGCAAGUCGAACGGUAACAGGAAGCAUCUUGCUGCUUUGCUGACGGGUGGCGGACGGGUGAGUAAUGUCUGGGAAACUGCCUGAUGGGGGGGGCUAACUACUGGCAACGGUAGCUAAUACCGCAUAACGUCGCAGAAACAAAGAGGGGGACCUUCCGGCCUCUUGCCAGCUGAUGUGCCCAGAUGGGAUUAGCUUGUUGGUGGGGUAACGGCUUACCAAGGCGACGAUCCCUAGCUGGUCUGAGAGGAUGACCAGCCACACUGGAACUGAGACACGGUCCAGACUCCUACGGGAGGCAGCAGUGGGGAAUAUUGGACAAUGGGCGAAAGCCUGAUGCAGCCAUGCCGCGUGUAUGAAGAAGGCCUUCGGGUUGUAAAGUACUUUCGGCGGGGAGGAAGGGAGUAAAGUUAAUACCUUUACUCAUUGACGUUACCCGCAGAAGAAGCACCGGCUAACUACGUG